UCGCAGGUAGACUCUAAGACCAACUGCGUGAGGAGACAGUGGGGCCUGGCCGCCCUCUGCACUACUACUAUUUUCUAGUUCCAGCUCUAGCUACCCUUUAGCAACAACGGAUGCAGACCUGAGCUGUAACCACCCAGCUGUGCUCUGUCUGAAUUCUGGAAUCACAGAGUGCAAAUGAGACAAUACAGUGUUUACCAGCCACACAGGAUGACUGUGGUGGACUGUCAAUCCCUGAGAGACUGGUUUUGCUGGUUGAGGAUAAGUGCGACACAUAUAAACUACAAACCCAGGUGAGGUGGGAGGAGGUCGUGGAGAGGACGUGCCUUCCCGCUGACCAGAGAGCUGCACCGCCCAGUGGGAGGCGCCUCGCCUCCUCCCGGCCUUGCAAGUUUUUUCACUGAAGCCAUUUCAAGGACUAGCCUGGAGAGAGCAAGGUGGUAAGACCAGGGGGCCUGUGAAGGAGACUGAACCCCGU